UUUUUUUUUUGUAUCAAAUGAGCUAAACAGGUCUGGAUGUUAAGUAUGAAACUGUUGUGAACUCAUGUUAUUUAGUCUGUGUUAAUAGGAUGAAUUUACAGAUCUAGUUCCUUAAUUCUGCACAUUCCCUUCUCAGGUAUUUGGAAGCAAACCUCUUGGGAUACUCGUUUUCUCUCGUUUCACCUUUAUCAUGAUCCCUCUACUUCUUUGGGGUAGAACGAAUCAUGACAGGUCUUAAUGUA